GUCUUUUUGUUAAUAAUUUAAAGUCAAAUCUGCCCACUGAUUUAUAAUUAAAGGGCUGCAGUAUAUUGACUGUACAAAGGUAGCAUAGUAAAUAGUCUUUUAAUUGAAGACUUGUAUGAAUGAUUUGAUGAAAUAUAAACUGUCUCUUUUUUAUAAUUUGAAUUUAAUUUUUUAGUAAAAAAGCUAAAAUUUGAUUAAAAGACGAGAAGACCCUAUAGAGUUUUAUAAUUAAUUUAUUUAUAAAUUUAUUUAUAAUUUUAAAAAUAAUUAAGUUAAUUAUUUUAUUGGGGUGAUAGAAAAAUUAAAUUAACUUUUUUUAAAAAUAAACAUUAAUUAAUGAAUAUAUGAUCCAUAUUUUAUGAUUAUAAGAAAAAAUUACCUUAGGGAUAACAGCGUAAUUUUUUUUUUUAGUUCUUAUAGGAAAAAAAGUUUGCGACCUCGAUGUUGGAUUAAGAUAAAAUUUAAAUGCACAAGUUUAAAAUUUUGAUCUGUUCCAUCAUUAAAAUCUUACA
rnacentral:rRNA from 1 species